rnacentral:rRNA from 1 species
UACGAAGGGGGAGCUAGCGUUGCUCGGAAUUACUGGGCGUAAAGCGCACGUAGGCGGAUCGUUAAGUCGGGGGUGAAAUCCUGGAGCUCAACUCCAGAACUGCCUUCGAUACUGGCGAUCUCGAGUUCGGGAGAGGUGAGUGGAACUGCGAGUGUAGAGGUGAAAUUCGUAGAUAUUCGCAAGAACACCAGUGGCGAAAGGCGGCUCACUGGCCCGAUACUGACGCUGAGGUGCGAAAGCGUGGGGAGCAAACAGG